GAUCAUGGCUCAGGAUGAACGCUAGCGGCAGGCUUAACACCUGCAAGUCGAGGGGCAGCAUAGAGGUUAGCAAUAACUUCUGAUGGCGACCGGCGCAAGGGUGCGUAACGCGUGAGCAACUUGCCCUUAUCAGGGGGAUAACCAAUGGAAACGUUGACUAAUACCCCAUAGUAUAGCUUUGAGGCAUCUCUUAGUUAUUAAAGAAAUUCGGAUAAGGAUAGGCUCGCGUGACAUUAGCUAGACGGCGGGGUAACGGCCCACCGUGGCAACGAUGUCUAGGGGUUCUGAGAGGAAGGUCCCCCACACUGGAACUGAGACACGGUCCAGACUCCUACGGGAGGCAGCAGUGAGGAAUAUUGGUCAAUGGUCGAAGGACUGAACCAGCCAUGCCGCGUGAAGGUGACGGCCCUAUGGGUCUUAAACUUCUUUUGUAAGGGAGCAAUAAGUUCUACGUGUAGGAUGAUGAGAGUACCUUACGAAUAAGCAUCGGCUAACUCCGUG
rnacentral:rRNA from 1 species